rnacentral:rRNA from 1 species
GACGAACGCUGGCGGCGUGCCUAAUACAUGCAAGUCGAGCGGACAGACGGGACUUUGCUCCCUGUUGUUAGCGGCGGACGGGUGAGUAACACGUGGGUAACCUGCCUGUAAGACUGGGAUAACUCCGGGAAACCGGGGCUAAUACCGGAUUGUUGUCUGAACCGCAUGGUUCAGUUCUAAAAGGUGGCUUCGGCUACCACUUACUGAUGGACCCGCGGCGCAUUAGGUAGUUGGUGAGGUAACGGCUCAUCAAGGCCUCGACGCGUAGACGACAUGAGCGGGUGGUUAGCCACACUGGGAGUGAGACAAGGCACAGAAUGACACAGGGAGGAGCAAGAGGGAAACGGCCGCAAAGGGCGGAAAGCAGAAGGAACAAAGCCGCGGGAGGGAUGAAGGUUGUCGGGUGGUAAAGGACUGUUGUUAGGGGAGAAAAAGUGGUGAUCAAAUAGGGAGGGAGAUUGACGGUACCUAACCAGAAAGCAACGGCUAACUACGUG